GACGAACGCUGGCGGCGUGCUUAACACAUGCAAGUCGAACGGAAAGGCCCUGCUUUUGUGGGGUGCUCGAGUGGCGAACGGGUGAGUAACACGUGAGUAACCUGCCCUUGACUUUGGGAUAACUUCAGGAAACUGGGGCUAAUACCGGAUAGGAGCUCCUGCUGCAUGGUGGGGGUUGGAAAGUUUCGGCGGUUGGGGAUGGACUCGCGGCUUAUCAGCUUGUUGGUGGGGUAGUGGCUUACCAAGGCUUUGACGGGUAGCCGGCCUGGGAGGGUGACCGGCCACAUUGGGACUGAGAUACGGCCCAGACUGCUACGGGAGGCAGCAGUGGGGAGUAUUGCACAAUGGGCGGAAGCCUGAUGCAGCAACGCCGCGUGCGGGAUGACGGCCUUCGGGUUGUAAACCGCUUUCGCCUGUGACGAAGCGUGAGUGACGGUAAUGGGUAAAGAAGCACCGGCUAACUACGUG
rnacentral:rRNA from 1 species